AUUAUUGCAGGUUCUUAUUUCUCUCUACUUGUGCCAGUUUACCUAAACAAACGAUUAAAAGAAGCAAUAUGAAUACUUGUGCCAGUUUAUGCUAUGAAAAGAAGCCAUAUGAAUGUUCUCGAUUGAUUGUGUAAGUUCAUGCUAUGAAAACAAGCCAUAUUAAUGUUUGAUGUUUAGAUUUUCUAUUUUAGAAGAAUUCUAAAAUCUGCAUUUAAUCGUGAUAUUUUACUUUUUCUGUCAUACAUGUGCAUUUCAAUGACAGAUUAUAUAACUGAUGGUACACUUCAGCGAUUAUGCUAAAGUACCAGACAUAAGGGGAAUGAAUAUUUCUGGCAAUGCAAUAUCUGAUCAGGCAUUUACGUGAAUUACCUGUGCACGGCAUAGUUUUAGCUUAAUAUUCGAGCCUCACUUUAAUUACUUAGAUAUACAAUAUCUCGGUUUAAUAUUUGAGUCUUGCUUCAGACUGAAUUUCCUGAGCACUGUAUGGUCUUUGCUUUGCUAUUAUGUAUAAGAGUAAAUAUGUAGAAUUGAGUUAUGCAUAUUACAUUUUUCAUGGAGGCGGUGGUUCUCCAUCACAGAACUUGACCAAGUUAAAUGUCACAUCUUCCAACAGCACAUUCUGAGCCUGCAGCCUACACUCCAUUUCAGGAUAUUACAAGCAUGCAAAACCAAGGUGAUUAGAAACUGAUGUGUCCAACAACUGCCGUAUUGCUAAAUACAGGUGAUUAAAGCUCGGUUCAUUAUUCCCUUCUCACUUUGCUACUAGAGCAAUGAGCAUGGUCACGAUGGUGUGCCGCAUUAAGGUUAACUGAAAAAACAUUAAGUUCUUCAUUAAAGUUCAGUAUAAGACCAUGUUUUCUUGUAACCGAAAUUUGCAACUUUGUUCAAGUUCAACGUUACUUCAGUAUCCUUUUUCAGGAUGUGGAAUCUAGCAAGACCGCCAAUGAAAGAGCUCACUGAACCCAUAUGCAGUAACCUGAAGUUUUUCUUUGAUUCUAUGAAGAGAAUUAAUUUGGUUUUCUGCUUCUGAUGAUGUGAUUUUUGUAACGAUCACGAUGAUUGGGCGUGAGUAUUUCCCACCAAGAUUUCAAAAUUCAUUGAAAAUCUGUGGAUGGUAGCAAUCAAGGCUAGCAGAAAGUGGGCGUUCAGUAGUGAAGAGACGAAUUAAAUUAAACCUCAUUUUCCUUAAUGUUAAAACUAGCAAGGGUGAAAGUUUAUUGAGUUUUGGAAUAUAUUAUUAGCAUGAUCCUUUUACCACAAAAAUUGAUUAAUAAUAUAUUCCAAGGAUCACUGCACAAGGAUUCGAAUUUCGACAUCGUCGACUUGCUCUGGCAGAAGGCAUGGCAAGGGGACCGCUCUGGCAGACAUGCAUCUCCACUGACUCCAGGACCUCCCAAACGCCCAAGGCGAUGUGAUUGACCAUCACUCGACAUCCAACAAGUCAACCAAGUAUAGGCCGGCUGAUGAGAUCAAGCUUUGACGAACGAGGGAUCCCAAUCUCCAGGUUCACAGAAAUGGUUCAUGGAAUGGCUGGUGGGGCUAUACUGAAGAGAGUUUACUUAGGAACAAUGUGAGACAUGAGAUUCAACAAGCCAUUCAGGUGGACGUGAGGAUUCCAAAACAAGGGUUCGUGAAGCGUUUAUAGGUGUUUAUGAUCAAAUGCCAACCUUCGUGAGCAGCAGUGUCGCUGUUGGAUAGCAUAAAGAAGCACCCUUCGGACUAUCCAAAUGACGUGCUUGUGUUAUCCUAAUGACCACCGGCCGCAUACAUUUCAGAUGUCCGGGGCCAAUGUUGAAGCCUGGAAGUUUGGGAGCAGGUGACUACAUGAUCUCACUUUGUUGAUUACCGACAUCGCUUUAAUUUCGUCCACUAUGAAAUUCUUAAAUUGAUUUG